rnacentral:rRNA from 1 species
UACGUAGGGUCCGAGCGUUGUCCGGAAUUACUGGGCGUAAAGCGCGCGCAGGCGGCCCGCGAGGUGUCACGUGAAAGCCCCGGGCUCAACCCGGGAGGGUCGUGGCAAACCGGCGGGCUUGAGGCCGGUAGAGGUGGGUGGAACUCCUGGUGGAGUGGUGAAAUGCGUAGAGAUCAGGAAGAACACCCGUGGCGAAGGCGGCCCACUGGGCCGGUACUGACGCUGAGGCACGAAGGCGUGGGGAGCGAACGGG